UCCAGUUUGUGCAAUGACAAGCUGGUGUGGCUGAAACGGCAGUUGCUCAAGAGCAUUAGAACAGCCUUCACCAUGUGGGUUUACAUGGACAGCACGGUCAGCAGACAGUGAGACGGGCGCUUGUCCACUCGUCUGACACCGUGGGGCCAUAGGAGGCAGCGACUGAGAAGGUCAGUCCCAUUAAAAAUGCCCUUUGGCUCAUCUGGAAGCUGUAUCUCUGGUCAUGCACCAUGCCAGCCACGCCAGCCACGCCAGCAUUAUCACGGCAUGUGCUUUAAAAUCAUGCAGACGUUGUUCUAGAGUGAGUGUGAACAGCUUUCACACUUGGGCACUGUGCCGGUUCCCAUGCUGGCUUUCCCACAUGCACACAGGUGGCUGGCACGCAGCUCUGCACCUCUUACUGUUGGGAGCUCAGAAGCCUCUCUCUGUGGUGGUUUUUCAUCUCGGGAUAAUUGAACCCAGCUGGGAAGUACCAGGACCAGAGAAUCUCUGCUGCAUAAUAUCACCACCCCGUGGCAACUCACAAAGCAAGAUUUUCACCGAGAAUCGCACAUAGAAAUAAUUUCACAUCUGCUUCUGGAAAGAUUUUCACCGAGAAUCGCACAUAGAAAGAAUUCCACAUCUGCUUCUGGAGCACAUUUCCCUCUAAAGAGAGGGGCAGAGCGACUUCACCGUCUGUCGUCAUCUGGUGGUGGAAACCACUUCUAGGUUUGAAGGUCUGCUGUGUGCCAAAAUAUUUUACCAUGCCCUAAAAGUGAGAUGUUGGAAGUGGACAAGGAGGAAAUAUUUAUGAAUAUUUGAGUCUGUUAUUCUUUAUGUUAAGCAUUUUGGCUUCUGUUGUACUCCUAAAUCACUACUGAGAGCAGAGAAAGAGCUCUUUGUAGAAAUGAGAUGUGUUCCUGUGUGCUGCCUGUGACGCAUCCCGUUGUCACCGGAGUGCCGUGGCCCUAAGGAAUGACAGCAUUAAGGCAUGGACGUUAAAGAUGGACAAAAGAAUUGUUCACGGUGUUGUAUUUUAAAAUGACUAUGUGUAUGACAAUUAAACUAUUGUGUCUUCGUUUACUCCAUGUGUUCUGCCUGACAGCUGGG
rnacentral:lncRNA from 1 species